rnacentral:rRNA from 1 species
AUUGAACGCUGGCGGCAUGCUUUACACAUGCAAGUCGAACGGCAGCGCGGGCUUCGGCCUGGCGGCGAGUGGCGAACGGGUGAGUAAUACAUCGGAACGUGCCCAGUAGUGGGGGAUAGCUCGGCGAAAGCCGGAUUAAUACCGCAUACGACCUGAGGGUGAAAGCGGGGGAUCUUCGGACCUCGCGCUAUUAGAGCGGCCGAUGGCAGAUUAGCUAGUUGGUGGGGUAAAGGCCUACCAAGGCGACGAUCUGUAGCUGGUCUGAGAGGACGACCAGCCACACUGGGACUGAGACACGGCCCAGACUCCUACGGGAGGCAGCAGGGGGGAAUUUUGGACAAUGGGCGAAAGCCUGAUCCAGCAAUGCCGCGUGUGUGAUGAAGGCCUUCGGGUUGUAAAGCACUUUUGGUGGGAACGAAAAGGACUGUGCCAAUACCACGGUUCGAUGACGGUACCCGCAGAAUAAGCACCGGCUAACUACGU